GCUGGGACAGCUCAGUCGGUAGAUCAUGAGACUCUUAAUCUCAGGGUCAUGGGUUUGAACCCCACAUUGGGCA